UGGGGAAUAUUGCACAAUGGACGGAAGUCUGAUGCAGCGACGCCGCGUGGGGGAUGAAGGCUUUCGGGUUGUAAACUCCUUUUGAUGCUGAACAAGGCUCUUUUUAGGGUUGAGGGUAGGUGUUGAAUAAGCGCCGGCUAACUACGUGCCAGCAGCCGCGGUAAUACGUAGGGCGCGAGCGUUGUCCGGAAUUAUUGGGCGUAAAGGGCUCGUAGGCGGUUUGUCGCGUCUGCUGUGAAAGACCGGGGCUUAACUCCGGGGUUGCAGUGGGUACGGGCAGACUAGAGUGCGGUAGGGGUAGCUGGAAUUCCUGGUGUAGCGGUGGAAUGCGCAGAUAUCAGGAGGAACACCGAUGGCGAAGGCAGGUCACUGGGACGUUACUGACGCUGAGGAGCGAAAGCAUGGGGAGCGAACAGG
rnacentral:rRNA from 1 species